rnacentral:rRNA from 1 species
GAUGAACGCUGGCGGCGUGCCUAACACAUGCAAGUCGAACGAACAGACGAGGAGCGUGUGCGUCUAACGUUGGCGACGGACGGGUGAGUAACACGUAGAUAACCUACCUCUUUGACUUGGAUAAGUUCGGGAGACCGGAGCUACUACUACAUCAUAUAUUCAACCGCAUGGAUCAAUAGAGGAUCACGGGUUUGCGGAUACUUAUAGAUGGUGCCGCGCCGCAUUAGCUAGUUGGUAAGGUAACGGCCUACCAAGGCAACGAUGCGUAGCCGACCUGAGAGGGUGAUCGGCCACACUGGAACUGAGACACGGUCCAGACUCCUACGGGAGGCAGCAGUAGGGAAUCUUCGGCAAUGGGCGAAAGCCUGACGGAGCAACGCCGCGUGAGUGAUGAAGGUCUUCGGAUCGUAAAGCUCUGUUAUUAGGGAAGAACAACUGUGUAAGUAAAUAUGCACGUCUUGACGGUACCUAAACAAAAAGCCCCGGCUAACUACGUG